ACUUAAAUUGAAGAGUUUGAUCAUGGCUCAGAUUGAACGCUGGCGGCAGGCCUAACACAUGCAAGUCGAGCGGUAGCACAGAGAGCUUGCUCUCGGGUGACGAGCGGCGGACGGGUGAGUAAUGUCUGGGAAACUGCCUGAUGGAGGGGGAUAACUACUGGAAACGGUAGCUAAUACCGCAUAAUGUCGCAAGACCAAAGUGGGGACCUUCGGGCCUCAUGCCAUCAGAUGUGCCCAGAUGGGAUUAGCUUGUAGGUGGGGUAACGGCUCACCUAGGCGACGAUCCCUAGCUGGUCUGAGAGGAUGACCAGCCACACUGGAACUGAGACACGGUCCAGACUCCUACGGGAGGCAGCAGUGGGGAAUAUUGCACAAUGGGCGCAAGCCUGAUGCAGCCAUGCCGCGUGUGUGAAGAAGGCCUUCGGGUUGUAAAGCACUUUCAGCGGGGAGGAAGGCGGUGAGGUUAAUAACCUCAUCGAUUGACGUUACCCGCAGAAGAAGCACCGGCUAACUCCGUGCCAGCAGCCGCGGUAAUACGGAGGGUGCAAGCGUUAAUCGGAAUUACUGGGCGUAAAGCGCACGCAGGCGGUCUGUCAAGUCGGAUGUGAAAUCCCCGGGCUCAACCUGGGAACUGCAUUCGAAACUGGCAGGCUAGAGUCUUGUAGAGGGGGUAGAAUUCCAGGUGUAGCGGUGAAAUGCGUAGAGAUCUGGAGGAAUACCGGUGGCGAAGGCGGCCCCCUGGACAAAGACUGACGCUCAGGUGCGAAAGCGUGGGGAGCAAACAGGAUUAGAUACCCUGGUAGUCCACGCCGUAAACGAUGUCGAUUUGGAGGUUGUGCCCUUGAGGCGUGGCUUCCGGAGCUAACGCGUUAAAUCGACCGCCUGGGGAGUACGGCCGCAAGGUUAAAACUCAAAUGAAUUGACGGGGGCCCGCACAAGCGGUGGAGCAUGUGGUUUAAUUCGAUGCAACGCGAAGAACCUUACCUGGUCUUGACAUCCACAGAACUUAGCAGAGAUGCUUUGGUGCCUUCGGGAACUGUGAGACAGGUGCUGCAUGGCUGUCGUCAGCUCGUGUUGUGAAAUGUUGGGUUAAGUCCCGCAACGAGCGCAACCCUUAUCCUUUGUUGCCAGCGGUCCGGCCGGGAACUCAAAGGAGACUGCCAGUGAUAAACUGGAGGAAGGUGGGGAUGACGUCAAGUCAUCAUGGCCCUUACGACCAGGGCUACACACGUGCUACAAUGGCAUAUACAAAGAGAAGCGACCUCGCGAGAGCAAGCGGACCUCAUAAAGUAUGUCGUAGUCCGGAUUGGAGUCUGCAACUCGACUCCAUGAAGUCGGAAUCGCUAGUAAUCGUAGAUCAGAAUGCUACGGUGAAUACGUUCCCGGGCCUUGUACACACCGCCCGUCACACCAUGGGAGUGGGUUGCAAAAGAAGUAGGUAGCUUAACCUUCGGGAGGGCGCUUACCACUUUGUGAUUCAUGACUGGGGUGAAGUCGUAACAAGGUAACCGUAGGGGAACCUGCGGUUGGAUCACCUCCUUACCUUAAAGAA
rnacentral:rRNA from 1 species